rnacentral:rRNA from 1 species
GUACGCAUUCAGAGUUUGAUCCUGGCUCAGGACGAACCUGGCGGCGUGCCUAACACAUGCAAGUCGAACGGGGUGUCGGGAGCUUGCUCCUGACACUUAGUGGCGAACGGGUGAGUAACGCGUGAGGAACCUGCCUUUCAGUGGGGGACAACAGUUGGAAACGACUGCUAACACCGCAUAACAUAAUCGAACCGCAUGAUUUGAUUAUCAAAGCUUUAUGUGCUGAAAGAUGGCCUCGCGUCUGAUUAGCUAGUUGGAGGGGUAACGGCCCACCAAGGCGACGAUCAGUAGCCGGUCUGAGAGGAUGAACGGCCACAUUGGGACUGAGAUACGGCCCAG